rnacentral:rRNA from 1 species
AUUAGUAGAGCUAACUUAUUAUCUUUUAUAGAAUAUAUAAAUUAAUGUUUCAAAAUUAAUUUAAAAUAUUAAGUUAGGUGUGAAAGGCUUACCAAUUCUAAUAAUAUCUGGAUUUUCUUUAAAUGUAUUUAGUACAAAAUAAUAAUUUGAUUAUAAAAAUGUUAAGGUUUUUAUGAAUAAGAAUUUUUUUUUGAAAAUUUAAUUAUAGGAUAAAUCUUUUAAUUAAUUGAAAAUUUAAAAAUUAAUUAAUUGAAAAAUCUUUAAUGUAAAGAGAUAUUGAAUUUAAUUAUAAAUUGAAUAGAUUCUGUUAAAAUAAGUAUUUUAUAAAUAAAUUAAUUAAAGGAACUCGGCAAAAAUAAUAUUCAACUGUUUAUCAAAAACAUAGCAUUAUGAAAAUAUAUAAAGUAUAACCUGCCCGGUGAAAUAAUUAAACGGCCGCAGUAUUUUGACUGUGCUAAGGUAGCAUAAUAAAUUGGCUUUUAAUUGAAGUCUUGAAUGAAAGGAUAAAUGAAUAAUUACUGUCUUUAUUUAAAUUUUAAGAAAUUACUUAUAAGGUGAAAAUUCCUUAGAUUAUUAUAAUAGACGAGAAGACCCUAGGAGUUUAUUUAACAAUUUACAUUGUAAUAUUUUGUUGGGGCGACAAUACAGCAUAAUAAACCUGUAUUUUAAAAUUUUUAUAACGAAAAGUUUUAAUUUAAAUUAAACUACCCUAGGGAUAACAGCAUAAUUUAUUUUAAGUUUGUGACCUCGAUGUUGGAUUAGGAAAUUUUAAUAUUAACAAUAUUAAAAAUUAGUUCUGUUCGAACUUUAUUUCCUACAUGAUCUGAGUUCAGACCGG